rnacentral:lncRNA from 1 species
AGCCCCCAGCCCAGGUGGCUUCAGGAGGUAGCUCUUCUUCUCACAUCCCUGCGCUCCGAGGAAGUCGAGUGCAACAGAGAGAAACAAGAUCGAGGACACAACAGGUCCCACCCAAGGGAGAAAAGGUGAGGACAGCAAGACCACAGCUGUGCGGCCAUCUAACAGGCCGCCCCCGAGACUGGAGCGAGGGGACACAGGCUCCCGGAGGAAAUGUCACGGAGAAGGGAGGUUUGCAAAGAUCAGCCACUAUCCUUAGGAUCCUUAGCCAGCUCACUGAGUGAUAAAGACAGUGUGAGCAAAAAGGCCACUAGCAAUUCUAGGAAAAACAAAUAGCUAGACCAUAAAGGAAAUGAUAUCAUGCCUCUGAAAUAAACAAUAUAACAAAGUUUCA